AAAACAAAUUUAUGGAUUUGAAUGCAAAUUAUCAAUCCUUGCAUUGCUGGGCAACAACAAUAAUUAUAACAUGGGCUGUUCCCCAAAAUACAGAGCAAUAAACCAAUAGCUGUCUAAAGCAUCUCAGAAUAAUAACGCAUCAAGCUUUGAACCUGUAACCACUGGUCUAAUGAAUACACAAUUGAUAAUGACGCACCUCGACUGGUUCAACAUCAUGAGCAAUCACAACAAGUUGAGCCUUCUUCCUUUCAAUGAGGUUGGUGACCGUGUUCACACCUGAAGAUACAACCAAUGGACGCCUGGUUGGGGUGUCUGG